AGCUCCAAUAGCGUAUAUUAAAGUUGUUGCGGUUAAAAAGCUCGUAGUUGGAUUUCUGUUCCAGACUGACGGUCCACCGCUCGGUGGCGACUGUCAGGCCUGAACAUUCCGUCGGUUUCGACAGAUUUUUCCCGCGGUGCUCUUCGGUGAGUGUCGCGGGAGGCCGACAAGUUUACUUUGAAAAAAUUAGAGUGCUCAAAGCAGGCGGUCAGCCUGAAUAAUGGUGCAUGGAAUGAUGGAAUAGGACCUCGGUUCUAUUUUGUUGGUUUUCGCAACUCGAGGUAAUGAUUAAGAGGGACAGACGGGGGCAUUCGUAUUGCGACGCUAGAGGUGAAAUUCUUGGACCGUCGCAAGACGAACUACUGCGAAAGCAUUUGCCAAGAA
rnacentral:rRNA from 1 species